rnacentral:sRNA from 1 species
UUGUAACCCUGGAAAAUGAGGUCCUCUCUUUAUUUGUGAGCCAGAUACAACACAGGAAGUGACACGGGAAACGUUCUCAAACUGUCUUGCCACAGCAGCCACAACUCCAGACUGGGAAGACCACCCUGGGAAUAAGAAGCAAUUCAGAUUUCCUACAAGCUUCUUUUAGGUCAAU